CUGCUUCUCGGAUCUGGCGGCCACGAGCUGGAUGCUGCCAGAUCCGGCAGCCUCGGGCUCAUGGCCACCGGAUCCUGUUGCCCCGA
rnacentral:pre_miRNA from 2 species